rnacentral:rRNA from 1 species
GGGCAGCGAAGUGGGUGAUGUCAAGCUUCCAAGAAAAGCCCUAUACCCGUUAAGGCAUGAUGGCCUGUACCCGAAACCGACACAGGUGGGGUGGUAGAGAAUACCGAGGGGCGCGAGAUAACUCUCUCUUAGGAACUCGGCAAAAUGGCCCCGUAACUUCGGGAGAAGGGGUGCCACCGCAAGGUGGUCGCAGUGAAGAGGCCCAGGCGACUGUUUACCAAAAACACAGGUCUCCGCUAAGUCGCAAGACGAUGUAUGGGGGCUGACGCCUGCCCAGUGCCGGAAGGUUAAGGAAGCUGGUCAGCGUAAGCGAAGCUGGCGACUGAAGCCCCGGUGAACGGCGGCCGUAACUAUAACGGUCCUAAGGUAGCGAAAUUCCUUGUCGGGUAAGUUCCGACCGCACGAAAGGCGUAACGAUCUGGGCGCUGUCUCGGAGAGAGGCUCGGCGAAAUAGAAUUGUCUGUGAAGAUGCGGACUACGUGCACCCGGACAGAAAGACCCUAUGAAGCUUUACUGUAGCUUGGUAUUGUGCCCGGGCUCUGAAUGCGCAGGAUAGGUGGGAGGCUUUGAUCCAUUGCUUGUGGGUGAUGGUGAGCCAACGGUGAGAUACCACUCUUUCAGAGCUAGGGUUCUAACGGUCACCCGUCAUCCGGGGACCGGACAGUAUCAGGUGGGCAGUUUGACUGGGGCGGUCGCCUCCUAAAAGGUAACGGAGGCGCGCAAAGGUUCCCUCAGGCUGGUUGGAAAUCAGCCGACGAGUGUAAAGGCAGAAGGGAGCUUGACUGUGAGACCUACAAGUCGAACAGGGGCGAAAGUCGGCCUUAGUGAUCCGACGGUUCUGAGUGGAAGGGCCGUCGCUCAACGGAUGAAAGUUACUCUAUGGAUAACAGGCUGAUCUCCCCCAAGAGUUCACAUCGACGGGGAGGUUUGGCACCUCGAUGUCGGCUCAUCGCAACCUGGGGCUGAAGUCGGUCCCAAGGGUUGGGCUGUUCGCCCAUUAAAGCGGUACGCGAGCUGGGUUCAGAACGUCGUGAGACAGUUUGGUCCAUAUCCGGUGCAUGCGCAGGAAUAUUGAGAGGAUUUCUCCCUAGUACGAGAGGACCGGGAGGAACGCACCUCUGGUGUGCCAGUUAUCGUGCCAACGGUAAACGCUGGGUAGCCAUGUGCGGAGAGGAUAACCGCUGAAAGCAUCUAAGUGGGAAGCCCACCUCAAGAUGAGUAUUCCCAUGUCGUUAGCCAGUAAGGUCACGGGAAGAACACCCGCUGAUAGGCUCUACGUGGAAGCCGGGUAACCGGUGAAGCGGAGGAGUACUAAUAGACCGAGGGCUUGAC